AAAGCUUUUGUGGUUUUGGAUGGACUCGCGGCCUAUCAGCUUGUUGGUGGGGUAAUGGCCUACCAAGGCGACGACGGGUAGCCGGCCUGAGAGGGUGACCGGCCACACUGGGACUGAGACACGGCCCAGACUCCUACGGGAGGCAGCAGUGGGGAAUAUUGCACAAUGGGCGCAAGCCUGAUGCAGCGACGCCGCGUGAGGGAUGAAGGCCUUCGGGUUGUAAACCUCUUUCAGUAGGGAAGAAGCCUGUCCUUUUGGUGGGUGACGGUACCUGCAGAAGAAGCGCCGGCUAACUACGUGCCAGCAGCCGCGGUAAUACGUAGGGCGCAAGCGUUAUCCGGAAUUAUUGGGCGUAAAGAGCUCGUAGGCGGUUUGUCGCGUCUGCCGUGAAAGUCCGGGGCUUAACUCCGGAUCUGCGGUGGGUACGGGCAGACUAGAGUGCAGUAGGGGAGACUGGAAUUCCUGGUGUAGCGGUGAAAUGCGCAGAUAUCAGGAGGAACACCGAUGGCGAAGGCAGGUCUCUGGGCUGUAACUGACGCUGAGGAGCGAAAGCAUGGGGAGCGAACAGGAUUAGAUACCCUGGUAGUCCAUGCCGUAAACGUUGGGCACUAGGUGUGGGGGACAUUCCACGUUUUCCGCGCCGUAGCUAACGCAUUAAGUGCCCCGCCUGGGGAGUACGGCCGCAAGGCUAAAACUCAAAGGAAUUGACGGGGGCCCGCACAAGCGGCGGAGCAUGCGGAUUAAUUCGAUGCAACGCGAAGAACCUUACCAAGGCUUGACAUGAACCGGAAUGAUGCAGAGAUGUGUCAGCCACUUGUGGCCGGUUUACAGGUGGUGCAUGGUUGUCGUCAGCUCGUGUCGUGAGAUGUUGGGUUAAGUCCCGCAACGAGCGCAACCCUCGUUCCAUGUUGCCAGCGGGUUAUGCCGGGGACUCAUGGGAGACUGCCGGGGUCAACUCGGAGGAAGGUGGGGACGACGUCAAAUCAUCAUGCCCCUUAUGUCUUGGGCUUCACGCAUGCUACAAUGGCCGGUACAAAGGGUUGCGAUACUGUGAGGUGGAGCUAAUCCCAAAAAGCCGGUCUCAGUUCGGAUUGAGGUCUGCAACUCGACCUCAUGAAGUUGGAGUCGCUAGUAAUCGCAGAUCAGCAACGCUGCGGUGAAUACGUUCCCGGGCCUUGUACACA
rnacentral:rRNA from 1 species